rnacentral:rRNA from 1 species
GGGUGAGUCGGCCCCUAAGGCGAGACCGAAAGGUGUAGUCGAUGGGAAACGGGUUAAUAUUCCCGUACCUUGGAUAGCUGCGAUGGAGAGACGGAGAAGGCUAGGUGAGCCGGGCGACGGUUGUCCCGGUUUAAGCGAGUAGGGAGUGGACUUAGGCAAAUCCGGGUCCACAAUCUCGAGACGCGACGACGACUGCUCUUAGAGCGGGAAGUCAUUGAUGCCAUGCUUCCAGGAAAAUCUUCUAAGCUUCAGGCUAUUCGAGACCGUACCCCAAACCGACACAGGUGGUCAGGUAGAG